UGACCAUGAGUUUAACGGCCGCGGUAUUUUGACCGUGCAAAGGUAGCGCAAUCACUUGUCUUUUAAAUGAAGACCUGUAUGAAUGGCACGACGAGGGCUUAACUGUCUCCUUUUUCCAGUCAAUGAAAUUGAUCUUCCCGUGCAGAAGCGGGAAUAAAAACAUUAGACGAGAAGACCCUAUGGAGCUUUAGACACCAGGACAGUCCAUGUCAAACACCCCUCAUUUAAAGGACUGAACUAAUUGGGCCCUGUUCUAAUGUCUUUGGUUGGGGCGACCACGGGGAAACACAAAACCCCCAUGUGGACCGGGAAUACUUUUCCUACAACUAAGAGUCACAACUCUAAUUAACAGAACUUCUGACCAGUAAUGAUCCGGCAAUGCUGAUCAACGGACCGAGUUACCCUAGGGAUAACAGCGCAAUCCCCUCUUAGAGCCCAUAUCGACGAGGGGGUUUACGACCUCGAU
rnacentral:rRNA from 1 species